rnacentral:rRNA from 1 species
CCCGGUAACCCCGCGCCCGCCGACACGCGGGCCCCGCCGGCCGCGCGGCUCACAUGCGUGCGCGUCCCCCGUACAAAACGAGCCAGCCAGUCACUGCCGCUGCCGCUCGGGGGAGAAAAAAUAUCUUUUUUUACGGGGCCGCGGGGUGCGUUUCCCCCGUCUCGAGGUAUAAAUCCGUCAAUCGACUGCUGCUCCUUUUCCACUUCGAUUCGCCGUCUCCUCCUCCCCCUUCCCCUCCGUCUCGCUCCUCGCCCUUAUCCCCGUCCCUUUCCCCUUCCUCCCACCCGCAGCCGACGAAACUUUCCCCAAGCCCCUCGGUGGAUCGGACCGCCGCGCUCCAUCCAUGUCGGAGGAAUCUGGUCGCCCUUUGCCCAAGUUUGGCGAAUGGGACGUCAACGACCCAGCUUCUGCUGAUGGGUUCACUGUUAUAUUCAACAAAGCCAGGGAUGAGAAAAAGGCUGGGAAUGGACAAGAUACUGAAUCCCCUGGCAAAGAUGCCAGGACUGAGAGGGUGGAAUCUUAUGCCACCAAGGCAAAUUCAAAGAAGUGGUUUUGCUGCGUGACACCAAGUCCUACACAAUCUUGAGGAGGACAAGCGUCGCCCGAAGAAAAAAUGGUUGCCGAAGUAUGGUCGUUUAAUUUUGCUAUAUACAUACUAUCCAUAAGACCUUGUAAGAGGUACCCAGGCUCCCUGGGCCAUCACGAUGGGUAUCUCGUAAAAGAUGGGUAUCUCGUAAAACUCUGAAGUGUGUGUAUGUAUGGUGUGAGGGUUGUCAGACACUCAGUUUGGAUAAGUGAACUUCUGAUUGUAAUUCUGGUCUUCCUUGUCGGUCUCGUUUUGUGUAGUAGUAGUGGUGAAGUUGAUAUGUGAUUUGAGUCUCGCCUAUUGCCAGAACUGCAAACAUCCAAAAUUCCAAUCCCUACCUGUGAUUUGGCCCAUUAUUAUGUGAUAACACAAGUAUCCUUAUCCUUUUC